CUGUCUCAGAAUACCUGUUUCCAAGCAACAGUCCCCCUUCCUUGUUUGAUUACAUGUAAGUGCAUUCAACAGAUAUGAGUUAAGCACUUACUGUAUUCCCUUGUUCCAGAACAAGGGAAUACAUAAAUGAAAGAACUCUAGACUUUAAAGAGCUUAAAUUUUGAAAAGAACGGAUUUUGACACAUAUAUAAACAAGUGUGGCAGAUUAUCCUAAGUGUUUUAUUAAAAGUGUGCAGCCACUGACUAUCAAGUUUCCAAUGAGAUCUGAAUGAGGGAGGGAGCAGGGAGGGAGUGUUCAUCUCAAGCUGAAUGCUGUAAAGUGAAUAGAUAUUUGCUAAACAAUGCAUAACAACACUGAAUAAGCAGAAGAGUUGGAGCUCAAGUUUUGAGUAGACCAGAAGAGAAUUGGAGAAUGAAGAAGGUAUAUGGAGAGAGAGAGAGAGACUGGAACUAUAUCAUUGGGUCUUCCUGGUCUCCAGUUUGCCAACUGCAGAUCCUUGGACUUUGUCAACUUUUAUAAUCAUGCAAGUUCUACUGAAGGUCAACAAGAUAGUCAUAGAAAGAUCAAGGCUUAGAUGCAACUAGAUGAAGACUCCAAUGAAGAUGUGAUUUAUUUUCUUUAUCCAAUGCAACAGCAAUCAUCCCCAGGCUAAUAGCACCAUGUAUCUCGGAGGACCUAAGGUAGAAGCACUAACAUGAUGGAUGGAGAGGCUUUGGCAGUGCCCUGCAUACAAUACUAUACUUGCCUGGGAGGUUCCUUGGGAACUGCUUAAAGCAGCAUUUUCUCUUUGGAAGUUUUCUGUGUUCUAAUGCUGAUGACAAGAAACAGACAAGUUAUACUUUCAAAGACAUGAGGUACCUGUGGAGUCUAAGAAGACUAGUUUAUUGAAAACUCACGAAUGCCUAAUCAGAUGAUUCUGAAGAUUAGCGAUAUAAAAGAAUGAUUGGGUUCUUCCAGCUCCAGCCUGACCCUCCAUUUCAAGUUCAGGUUCCUACAACUGGAUGUUUCCUGGCCAUUUUGAAAAGUUAUUGCAUUCUAUUUGAGACAAGAUCAGUGGAGGUCAAAGGUCAGAACACUUGACUGGAGGAUAACAAGCUAAUUUGCUUGAAGAAAGAAAGAAAGGAAGGAAGGAAGAAAGAAAGGGUUUGGAUUUCCUAAAUUCAGGGCUCCUCAACUGUGAUACAUAACCACAUGAGUGCAAUAGACCUCUGACACCUUCACUUCAAAUCUGUGGGACUGGAGAGGCAAAAGUGAUGCAAACACCAUACCCAUGGGCUUAGUGUGCCAAGAGUAAGCUGUUCCUUUAUCUCUAACUCAGGAUUUUCAUGUCUUCUACCAACAUGCCUAUGACUUUAACAAACUACUUUGUUAGCUUCUAAGCAGUGUAAAAUCUCAGACUUUUCAUGACAAAUUUAAAAGGACAGUCUCUUCAAAAAUGGUGUUAGUGAAACUGAAUAUUCAUAUGUGGAAGAAUUAAUAGGACCUUAUUUCACAUCAUAUACAAAAAUCAACACAAAAUGGACUAAAGAUUUAAACAUACACUGAAAACCUUAACAUUACUAGAAAAUAACAUAAGGAAAAGGAUUUUUGACUUUGGUCUAGGCAAUGAUUUUUCGGAUAUAACACCAAAGGCACACAGGCAACAAAGGAAAAAUAGAAAAGUGAGUUUGUGUCAAACUGAAAGCCAUCUGCAAGGCAAAGAAAACAACCAAGAGAGUGAAAAAAAAAAAUCUAUGAGAGAUAUAGGGUGAAAUCUAUGGAAAAAUGGGAGGAAAUAUUUGCAAGCCAUCUCUCUGAUAAGAAGUUAAUAUCCAAAAAUAAACAAGGAACUCCUACAAUUCAAUAGUAAAAAAAAAAAA